rnacentral:rRNA from 1 species
AACGAACGCUGGCGGCAGGCUUAACACAUGCAAGUCGAACGCUCGUAGCAAUACGGGAGUGGCGGACGGGUGAGUAACGCGUGGGAACGUGCCCUGAGGUACGGAAUAACUGAGGGAAACUUCAGCUAAUACCGUAUGAGCCCCGAGAGGGGGAAAGAUUUAUCGCCUUGGGAGCGGCCCGCGUCGGAUUAGCUAGUUGGUGGGGUAACGGCCUACCAAGGCUUCGAUCCGUAGCUGGUCUGAGAGGACGAUCAGCCACACUGGGACUGAGACACGGCCCAGAUUCCUACGGGAGGCAGCAGUGGGGAAUCUUGCGCAAUGGGGGCAACCCUGACGCAGCCAUGCCGCGUGAACGAUGAAGGCCUUAGGGUUGUAAAGUUCUUUUACCCGUGACGAUGAUGACGGUAACGGGGAAUAAGCUCCGGCUAACUUCGUGCCAGCAGCCGCGGUAAU